CCCUUAGAUGUUCUGGGCCGCACGCGCGCUACACUGAUGCAUUCAACGAGCCUAGCCUUGACCGAGAGGUCCGGGUAAUCUUUGAAACUGCAUCGUGAUGGGGCUAGAUUAUUGCAAUUAUUAAUCUUCAACGAGGAAUGCCUAGUAAGCGCGAUUCAUCAAAUCGCGUUGAUUACGUCCCUGCCCUUUGUACACACCGCCCGUCGCUCCUACCGAUUGAAUGUGUUGGUGAGGAGCUCGGAUUGGCAGCAGUUGGUGGUUCGCCACCGGCUAUUGCUGAGAAGUCCUCCAAACCGCCCCAUUUAGAGGAAGGAGAAGUCGUAACA
rnacentral:rRNA from 1 species